GCUUUAUAAGUUUUAGAUAAACAACUAAUCUUGUAAAUUGGAAAAAUAAGGUUAAAUUCCUUAAUAAAGCU
rnacentral:tRNA from 1 species